rnacentral:rRNA from 1 species
UACGUAGGGGGCAAGCGUUGUCCGGAUUUAUUGGGCGUAAAGAGCGUGUAGGCGGCCAACAGGUCAGCUGUGAAAACUCGAGGCUCAACCUCGAGACGUCGGUUGAAACCGUUCGUGCUAGAGUCCGGAAGAGGAGAGUGGAAUUCCCGGUGUAGCGGUGAAAUGCGCAGAUAUCGGGAAGAACACCAAUGGCGAAGGCAGCUCGCUGGGACGGUACUGACGCUGAGACGCGAAAGCGUGGGGAGCAAACAGG